rnacentral:rRNA from 1 species
UACGUAGGGGGCGAGCGUUGUCCGGAUUUAUUGGGCGUAAAGAGCGUGUAGGCGGCCAGGUAGGUCUGCUGUGAAAACUCGAGGCUCAACCUCGAGAUGUCGGCGGAAACCAUCUGGCUAGAGUCCGGAAGGGGAGAGUGGAAUUCCUGGUGUAGCGGUGAAAUGCGCAGAUAUCAGGAAGAACACCCGUGGCGAAGGCGGCUCUCUGGGACGGUACUGACGCUGAGACGCGAAAGCGUGGGGAGCAAACAGG